rnacentral:rRNA from 1 species
UACGUAGGGGGCAAGCGUUGUCCGGAAUCAUUGGGCGUAAAGAGCGUGUAGGCGGCCCGAUAAGUCCGCUGUGAAAGUCCAGGGCUCAACCCUGGGAUGCCGGUGGAUACUGUCGGGCUCGAGUCCGGAAGAGGAGUGUGGAAUUCCGUGGUGUAGCGGUGAAAUGCGCAGAUAUCAGGAAGAACACCGAUGGCGAAGGCAGCUCUCUGGGACGGUACUGACGCUGAGACGCGAAAGCGUGGGGAGCGAACAGG